UUACUGACUCACGUCAUUGCAAAAGCUGCCCAUAGCCGCCCCUAGGUUGCACUCAGGCCAGGGGUGCGGGCUCUGGGCACAGUGUUCACCCUUAGGUCAGCUCUGCAGCCCCGAUCUGGGCAAGAAGGGAGAAACAGGCUCUUGGAGGUGGUGCAGGGCCACUUGGGGGGGAAAAUUCUGGGGUCCCAGAAUGAGGUCUAAAGAGGGCCACCGUCCUGCUGGGCUCUCCGUUUGGCUCUGCAGAAUCCUCACCCCAGGGAAUGGGGCGCAGUGGGGGAGAGCCUAGUUGGGACCCUCCAAAGCAGAGGGGCCUCUGGUGACCUGGUUUAAAGGCAGUUCUGCCCUAAAUGUUUGUCAUGUCCCUUCCCCAACCCUUACCAUAGCUUCAAGACC
rnacentral:lncRNA from 1 species